GAUGAACGCUAGCGAUAGGCUUAACACAUGCAAGUCGAGGGGCAGCACAAGGUAGCUUGCUAUCUGGGUGGCGACCGGCGCACGGGUGCGUAACGCGUAUGCAACUUGCCCUAUACAGGAGGAUAACCCGUCGAAAGACGGACUAAUACUGCGUAUGCUCACAACUUGGCAUCAAGUGGUGAGGAAAGAAAUUCGGUAUAGGAUAGGCAUGCGUCCCAUUAGCUUGUUGGUGAGGUAACGGCUCACCAAGGCAGCGAUGGGUAGGGGAACUGAGAGGUUUAUCCCCCACACUGGUACUGAGACACGGACCAGACUCCUACGGGAGGCAGCAGUGAGGAAUAUUGGUCAAUGGGCGCGAGCCUGAACCAGCCAAGUCGCGUGAAGGAUGACUGUCUUAUGGAUUGUAAACUUCUUUUAUACGGGAAUAACAAGAGUCACGUGUGACUCCCCGCAUGUACCGUAUGAAUAAGCAUCGGCUAACUCCGUG
rnacentral:rRNA from 1 species